GGCCCUUUAGCUCAGUGGUUAGAGCAGGCGACUCAUAAUCGCUUGGUCGUUGGUUCAAACCCAAUGUUCAAACCCAACAGGGGCCACCA
rnacentral:tRNA from 1 species